AUAAUACCAUAACUAAGUGUACAGCCUUUCUGUCCAUGUGGCCUCACACACAAAGUCAACAGUGAAAGGAAUGCUAUCCAUCUGACAAGAAAGCAGCGGACAGUACAGCAGGAUCACCGCCUGCUCCUCUGCCUCACGUUUGCCUUCUGCUGGACAGCCAGCCAUGCAUCCCCCUUUCGCCACUGCCCACGCCAUCUCAUCUGACAUUAUUCUCAAACUUCCUUCAGAUGCCUUCAGAUCUCCAACCCUAAUCAUCUUUUGUUCAUCUCAUGCCCCUACACCAUCACAACACUGUGGGCACAAUGCAUCAUUUUUCACCUACUACCUCUAUGAUCCAAAAGAGGUGAUAAAGCAGAUCCAAACUCCUCCACCUGCUUCCUUGACCCACAAUUUUUUUUUCAAAGAACCCCUUAGACCCAUAAGCAACUACAGACCAAUCUCCAAUAUCCCUUUUCCUAGUAAAAUAUUUGAAAAGAAUGUCUACAAACAACUGCAUAAUUACCUCUCCCUCCACAAUCUAUAUGAUGUGGAUCAAUCUGGCUUCAGGACCAGCCACAGCACUGAAACAGCUUUGAAGUAGUCAGUGAUUGAAAGAUCAACAAUGCUGCAAACAAACCUUCUAUCCUAGUAUUUCUGGAACGGACUGCAGCCUUAGAUACUGUCAACCACAGCAUUUUAAUCAGUAAACUAGAAAAUUC